AUAAACGCCGCGUGAACGAUGAAGGCUCUCGGAUUGUAAAGUUCUGUUGUCAGGCAAGAACAAGUGCCGUGCGAAUAGAGCGGCACCUUGACGGUACCUGACGAGGAAGCCCCGGCUAACUACGUGCCAGCAGCCGCGGUAAUACGUAGGGGGCAAGCGUUGUCCGGAAUUAUUGGGCGUAAAGCGCGCGCAGGCGGUUCCUUAAGUCUGAUGUGAAAGCCCACGGCUCAACCGUGGAGGGUCAUUGGAAACUGGGGAACUUGAGUGCAGAAGAGGAGAGUGGAAUUCCACGUGUAGCGGUGAAAUGCGUAGAUAUGUGGAGGAACACCAGUGGCGAAGGCGACUCUCUGGUCUGUAACUGACGCUGAGGCGCGAAAGCGUGGGGAGCAAACAGGAUUAGAUACCCUGGUAGUCCACGCCGUAAACGAUGAGUGCUAGGUGUCAGGGGGCUUCCAACCCUUAAUGCUGAAGUUAACGCAUUAAGCACUCCGCCUGGGGAGUACGGGCCGGAAGGCUGAAAC
rnacentral:rRNA from 1 species